rnacentral:rRNA from 1 species
AGUGAACGUUGGCGGCGUGGAUUAGGCAUGCGAGUCGAGCGAGAAUCGUAGCAAUACGGGGACAGCGGCGAAAGGGACAGUAAUAUGUAGGUACCUACCCUCGGGUCCGGGAUAGCUGCGGGAAACUGCAGGUAAUACCGGAUGACAUCUCCGGAUCAAAGGUGUGAUUCCGCCCGGGGAGGGGCCUGCAUCCUAUUAGCUUGUUGGCGGGGUAACGGCCCACCAAGGCGACGAUGGGUAGCGGGUGUGAGAGCACGACCCGCGUCAUUGGGACUGAGACACUGCCCAGACACCUACGGGUGGCUGCAGUCGAGAAUCUUCGGCAAUGGGGGAAACCCUGACCGAGCGACGCCGCGUGCGGGAUGAAGGCCUUCGGGUUGUAAACCGCUGUCGUAGAGGAGGAAAUGCAGGGGGGUUCUCCCCUCUGUUUGACUUAUUCUAGGAGGAAGGACGGGCUAAGUUCGUGCCAGCCGCCGCAGUAAAAC